ensembl:snoRNA
CCUGCCCCUAGAAGCGUUACAGGUAUGGUUAUUGUGUCAUGUGUGGCAGUAGGUGGCAGAGAGGUGAGAGGCUAUGCCUACACUCAGUGUUUUGACCUAUGAAUAUUUGAAUGAUAGUAGCCUAACAUU